rnacentral:rRNA from 1 species
GACAGAGGGUGCAAACGUUGUUCGGAAUUACUGGGCGUAAAGCGUGCGCAGGCGGUUCGUUAAGUUCGUUGUGAAAGCCCCGGGCUCAACCUGGGAACUGCAAUGGAAACUGGCGGGCUUGAGUAUGGCAGAGGGGGGUGGAAUUCCGCGUGUAGCAGUGAAAUGCGUAGAGAUGCGGAGGAACACCGAUGGCGAAGGCAGCCCCCUGGGCCAAUACUGACGCUCAGGCACGAAAGCGUGGGGAGCAAACAGG